AGAAAAUGUACAUACAAUAUUUUCAUAGUGCAUGUAUUUUUCUUUAUUUUCAUUAAUAUUAAUGCUACACAUGUACGUUUACAUGUAGCUGAGAAAAGCUUGAUACAUCUAGUGAAGAUGGAAUUGAAAGUACAUUGCGCUAAUAUUUACAUCAGCAUUUUUAGGGAUCACUACACAACAUCAAGGUCUUGCACUUACAGUUUUCUGUUAAGGGUACUGGAUGGUCAACAAAAGAACCACCAGAUCAGCUGCUUUAAAAUUUUAAUAGGAUAUUUUUAGCUAUGAAUUAUAAUAAAGCAAAGGAAAAAUCCAAAUAUUUUAGCUUUAAACAUUUUUCUUUAUCUUCAUCCAGGGAUUUUUAUUUAAAGAACCGAUAGACCAAUCUGCUAUUAUACAUACUGUAAAUUCCUAAUUUAACGCGAGGAAUUAAUAUCUGCGUAAAAUCGGGGAAAACACAUCUCACAAUUUUGAAAUCCCACUUUUAUUUUCCACACAUAUGUAAUGAACAAGAAACUAUGGUAAAAAUUAGGCAUUCGCGAAUUUAUGUUCUCGUGAUUUGAUGGAAAACGGUUGAAUCGUGGAAUUAAAUACUCACGAAAAGUAAGGAAUCUACAGUGUAUGCUUAAUUUCAUUGAGCUACAUGUCUGAAGUUUGACGUAAAUUCUAAACACUGGGCGGACUUCAAAAUGCACCAUUGUGAAAAUGUUCAGACUCAAUGUGAUCAUGCGAAUGUUCCAGCAUGUCAUUUAUGUGAUUUAGAUUAACCCUUGUGAUAUUUCAUGUUAAUCUAUCGUCCUUUGCCUAUACAUAUUUAAUAUAAUGAUUUAUUUUUUGUUUAACACCCCCAUGCCUUAGUGAAAGAAUUGAUGUUAUAAACAUGGCUUCUAUUAUUAGGCUUGUUGUAAAUUGUUACCUUGCCAUUUAUGACUUUUUACUCUACGAAUAACACACAGAGGUAAUCCAAAGUUAUUGACAUUUUUUUUAUAAUUUUCAUAGUUUGAAAUUUUUCAUAGUUUGAAAAUUAGUUGAGAAUUAAGUUUUUUUUUGUUUUGAAUUACCAGGAUUUUUAAUACUGAAUGAUAAUAAAAUUGCAUACAUUUUUUUGUACAUGUAUUAAUGGUAAUUUCAUUGUACUUUAUAAUCUUAACAGAUCCAAUGCAUGCUUUAAGUUGAUUAAAUGUAUACAAAUUUGUCAUGAGUUUCUAAUAAAGCUGUAUCAAA
rnacentral:misc_RNA from 1 species